UUUGCAUUUUUUAGCCUAUAUAGGUUCCCAAGCACCAUUGCAUUUUUUUUUACGGUAAUAAAUAAAUAAACCCGUUUUGUCAAAUGUUCUAAUUAAGGCCACCAAGUAUGGCUUUGGGUGUUCCACUAAUGCAAAGUUUCAGGUCUGUCUUGGUCUCACCAAAAUGGCAUUUUAACUACUACAAUCGGAAUCUUGGAGGGAUAGUAAUAAGUGACUUGGUCACACGUGCAUACGGAUUCAACAUUUACUUUGAAUAAUGGUUUCUAUAAAAAUUGUUUACUUGGCAAUUGGGGCUGCUGCAACAUUUCUCUACAAAGAUGGCUUGCUGGAUGGCCACAUGAAAGAGACAGGAUGCAAUGCGUUUGUAGCUGAACACUAUAUUGAGACAAGAUAUAGUUUUCUUUGAUAAAGAGACCGACACAAGCGAAAUUGUUGGCAUUAUGUUUGGUGACACUUUUUUUUUAAUCCAAGAUGCAAUGGGAGAGAAGGUGGUGGUGCUCGUGAUGAUGAGGAUUUGAGAUUGUAUUUUAUAUUAUGCAUAAAUUAAUUGUGUUGAGCAUUUGCAUCUAUGUUAUUGUUCUUGAUUUUGAUUUUGUACUGGGUUUUAUUUCUAAUUUUGAUGAUGAUAGAAAAUAUACUACUGAUUACUAUGUCAUUGUGUAAACUUGACAUUGCAGAUCGAAUAUAGACAUGUUGA